AGAGCAAGUCUAAAGUAAGGGCGUACGGGGGAUGCCUAGGCUCCUGGAGGCGAAGAAGGACGCGCAAAGCUGCGAAAAGCUGCGGGGAGUGGCCAAGACACAUUGAUCCGCGGGUAUCCGAAUGGGGCAACCCGGUGUAGCAAUACAUCAUCUGAGUAAUCAGAGGCAUACGUGGGGAACUGAAACAUCUAAGUACCCACAGGAAGAGAAAACAACAGACCAGCAAUGGUCAUAGUGAUUCCCUAAGUAGUGGCGAGCGAACGGGGAAGAGCCCAAACCUUUUGUGUUACGGCACAGGAGGGGUAGUAGGACCUGCAUUUAGUCUAGUCAAUCAACUGAAACGGUUUGGGAAAGCCGGCCAGAGAGGGUGAGAGCCCCGUACAGGGAAAGUUGACUAGGUGAGCGGGUAUCCUGAGUAGGGCGGGGUUGGAGAAGCCCCGUCUGAAACCGCCGGCACCAUCCGGCAAGGCUAAAUACAUCCAGGAGACCGAUAGUGAACCAGUACCGCGAGGGAAAGGUGAAAAGAACCCCAAGUCGGGGAGUGAAAAGGACCUGAAACCGUACGCCUGCAAGCGGUCGGAGGUGAUGAAAUAUUCACUGACGGCGUGCCUUUUGCAUAAUGAGCCUACGAGUUACGGUGACUGGCAAGGUUAAGCGAGUGAACUCGCGCAGCCGCAGCGAAAGCGAGUCUGAACAGGGCGCAUGGACUUUUAGUCCCAGUCAGUUGCUGUAGACGCGAAACCAAGUGAUCUACCCAUGAGCAGGUUGAAGUGGCGGUAACACGCCAUGGAGGACCGAACCAGUAAACGUUGAAAAGUUUUUGGAUGACUUGUGGGUAGGGGUGAAAGGCCAAUCAAACUUGGAGAUAGCUCGUACUCUCCGAAAUGCCUUUAGGGGCAGCCUCGCAGAGAGUCUACUAGAGGUAGAGCUACCAGCAGGACUAGGGGGUGUCACAACCUACCAAAUCCUAGUGAACUCCGAAUGCUAGUAGACUGCAGCGGGAGUGAGGGUGAGGGUGCUAAGGUCCUCAUCCGAGAGGGAAACAACCCAGACCACCGGCUAAGGUCCCAAAGUCCGUACUAAGUUGAACAAAGGGGGUCUGCCUGCGGCGACAGCCAGGAGGUUGGCUUGGAAGCAGCCAUUCCUUUAAAGAGUGCGUAACAGCUCACUGGUCGAGCGGGCGGGGCACCGAUAAUAAACGGGCAUCAAGUACGGCACCGAAGCUGUGGUAGAAGGACUUUCAAGUCCGUUCUAGGUAGGAGAGCAUUCCAGUAUCGGCGAAGGUGAUGCGUGAGCAUUGCUGGAGAGACUGGAAAAGCAAAUGUAGGCAUGAGUAACGAUAAUCAAGGUGAAAACCCUUGACACCGGAAGACUAAGGUUUCCUGAUCAACGUCAAUCGGAUCAGGGUUAGUCGGCCCCUAAGGAGCAAGGGAAACUGAAGCUCCGAUGGCGAGCGGGUUAAUAUUCCCGCACUGGUUUUACCAGUCACUCCAUGACGGAGCAAGCACGAGUGUGCGCACUGACGGAAUAGUGCGUUGAACCUGCCCUGGCAGGGAAAGUACCCCACGGCUUCGGCCACGGGGAUAACCACUCCGAGGAGCUUCCAAGAAAAGUGGAACUGACAAUGGUAAGGCCAGCCGUACCGCAAACCGACACAGGUAGUCGGGUAUAAACGUACCAAGGUGCUCGAGUGAGUCACGGCUAAGGAACUCGGCAAAUUAACCCUGUAACUUCGGGAGAAGGGGAGCCUCCUUAUGCAUGCAUAAGAGGUCGCAGCGAAUGGGCCCAGGCGACUGUUUACCAAAAACACAGGACUCUGCUAAAACGAAAGUUGACGUAUAGGGUCUGACACCUGCCCGGUGCUGGAAGGUUAAGGGGGGAUGUUAGCCGCAAGGCGAAGCAUUGAACCGAAGCCCCAGUAAACGGCGGCCGUAACUAUAACGGUCCUAAGGUAGCGAAAUUCCUUGUCGGGUAAGUUCCGACCUGCACGAAUGGUGUAACGAUCUGGGCGCUGUCUCGGCCGUGAGCUCGGUGAAAUUGUAGUAGCGGUGAAGAUGCCGCUUACCCGCAACGGGACGGAAAGACCCCGUGCACCUUUACUAUAGCUUCACAUUGGCUUUGGGUAAGGCAUGUGUAGGAUAGGCGGGAGGCAGUGAAGCGGUGUCGCCAGGCAUCGUGGAGCCAACCUUGAAAUACCGCCCUUGCCUUGCCUAGAGCCUAAUCUAGAAAUGGAAACAGUGUGUGGUGGGUAGUUUGACUGGGGUGGUCGCCUCCAAAAAAGUAUCGGAGGCUUUCAAAGGUCUGCUCGGCACGCUUGGUAACCGUGCUUUCAGAGUGCAAUCGCAGAAGCAGGCUUGACUGCAAGAGUGACAACUCGCGCAGGUAGGAAACUAGGAGAUAGUGAUCCGGUGGUUCCGCAUGGAAGGGCCAUCGCUCAAAGGAUAAAAGGUACGCCGGGGAUAACAGGCUGAUCUCCCCCAAGAGCUCACAUCGACGGGGAGGUUUGGCACCUCGAUGUCGGCUCGUCACAUCCUGGGGCUGGAGAAGGUCCCAAGGGUUCGGCUGUUCGCCGAUUAAAGUGGCACGCGAGCUGGGUUCAGAACGUCGUGAGACAGUUCGGUCCCUAUCUGUUGCGGGCGUGGGAUGUUUGCGGGGAGCUGACCUUAGUACGAGAGGACCGGGUCGGAGGGGCCGCUAGUGCAUCAGUUGUAUUGCCCAGUGCAUAGCUGAGUAGCCAUGCCCCGAUGAGAUAAGCGCUGAAAGCAUCUAAGCGCGAAACUCGCCCCAAGAUGAGACAUCCAGUUUAACAAAACGAAGGACCGUGAUAGAUCAUCACGUUGAUAGGCGGCCGGUAUACGUAGCGAAAUCUACUCAGCCUAGCCGUACUAAUCAUCCAACUAGACUUGCUUUUCU
rnacentral:rRNA from 1 species